rnacentral:rRNA from 1 species
CCUACGGGAGGCAGCAGUGGGGAAUAUUGGGCAAUGGGCGCAAGCCUGACCCAGCAACGCCGCGUGAAGGAAGAAGGCUUUCGGGUUGUAAACUUCUUUUGUCAGGGAAGAGUAGAAGACGGUACCUGACGAAUAAGCCACGGCUAACUACGUGCCAGCAGCCGCGGUAAUACGUAGGUGGCAAGCUUUGUCCGGAUUUACUGGGUGUAAAGGGCGUGUAGCCGGGUUGACAAGUCAGAUGUGAAAUCCUGCGGCUUAACCGCAGCACUGCAUUUGAAACUGUGGAUCUUGAGUACUGGAGAGGCAGACGGAAUUCCUAGUGUAGCGGUGAAAUGCGUAGAUAUUAGGAGGAACACCAGUGGCGAAGGCGGUCUGCUGGACAGCAACUGACGGUGAGGCGCGAAAGCGUGGGGAGCAAACAGGAUUAGAUACCCGGGUAGUC